CCCACCCCUCCCCAGCCCCCACCAACCAGCGGGCUCCGUUCUGUCUCCGGACUUUCCUGCUCUGCAUCUGUCGUGUAAAUGGAGUUGCCAUGUGCGUCCUUUUGUGUCUGGCUCGUGUCACCACACGCCAUGUUUCCCGGACUCAUCCGUGGGGUGUCUGUACGUCUUUCCCUUUUAUGGCUGCGUGAUACAGCCAGUCGGCCGCGUCCGUGGGCUCCACUUUUGGGGAUUCCACCAACCUCAGAUGGAAAAUAUAUCUUUCGGUGGACGGCUGCGUCUGUGCUGAACACGGACAGACUUUUUUAUUGUUGCUGUUGCCCAAGCCACAGUGUGGGAACGGCGUCUGCGCGUGUGCCUGGCAUCGCGGUCCGCAGAUGAUGUAAAGUGCCGGUUGCACGCGCAGUCGCACCCUCCACACCAGGGACCUCAGCACCCUCCACGCCGGGACCUCAGCACCCUCCACACCAGGGACCUCAGCACCCUCCACACCGGGACCUCAGCACCCUCCACACCAGGGACCUCAGCACCCACCGCAGCGGGGACCUCAGCACCCUUCCCACCGGGGACCUCAGCACCCUUCCCACCGGGGACCUCAGCACCCUCCGCGCCGGGGACCUCAGCACCCACCGCAGCAGGGACCUCAGCACCCUCCACACCGGGACCUCAGCACCCUCCACGCCGGGGACCUCAGCACCCUCCACGCCGGGAACUCAGCACCCUCCACGCCGGGACCUCAGCACCCUCCACGCCGGGGACCUCAGCACCCUCCACGCCGGGACCUCAGCACCCUCCACGCCGGGGACCUCAGCACCCUCCAUGCCGGGGACCUCAGCACCCUCCACGCCGGGACCUCAGCACCCUCCAAGUCGGGGACCUCAGCACCCUCCACGCCGGGGACCUCAGCACCCGUGGACCCUGGUGUCCUCCUGGGUCUGGAAUGGAUACUGAGGGACGAUGGAUGCCGCCGUAUUUUUUUUUUUUUUUUUUUUUUUUUGCAUUUUGACAGUUCGUGGAGACCCUGGCCGGCCGCAUUGCCUGGUCUCAGCAUUGCGGUGGAGCCGGAGCUGUGUGAACACCCAGGCAGCACGGGGCUCCGGCCCGAGCCUCAGCAGGUGAUGGCUGACCCCAGCAGUACCUUGAGGAGAUCGUAUUGCAGCCAGGAAGAGUCAAAGCCUCUGGCUUCCAAGAGGAAGGAAAGUGUGCUGCCCUGCAGAGACGUUUCCUAACCGGCUACUCAUGUAUAGUUUUUUUGUUUUUUUUUUUUUUUUUUUUUUUAGACGGAGUCUCGCUCUGUCGCCCAGGCUGGAGUGCAGUGGUGCGAUCUCAGCUCACUGCAAACUCCGCCUCCCGGGUUUACGCCAUUCUCCUGCCUCAGCCUCCCGAGUAGCUGGGACCACAGGCACCGCCACCUCGCCCGGCUAAUUUUUGUAUUUUCAGUAGAGACAGAGGGCGGUUCACUGUGUUGGCCAGGCUGGUCUCGAACUCCUGACCUCAGGCAAUCCGCCCACCUUGGCCUCCCAAAGUUCUGGGAUUACAGGUGUUAGCCAGCGCACCUGGCCUUGUGUGUGGUUUUCUAAACAGAACGAGCUGUAAGGUUUCAGGGAAGCAUGGAAGGAAACAUUCCGGAUCUUCUGGGGUGGCAUAAACACCGGCCCCGUUAGCUACCGUGGUGCAGGGCCCGGUGUGGGGACCGGCUGCAUCCUUGGCCUGCCCCCUGUGCCCUCGCUGUCCCCUACCCGUGUUCCUUCUGUGCUGGGCAGUGGCCAUCUCCAUGGUGACGACAGGGCAAAGGGGACCUUCUCAGGGGUAUCAGGCGUCCAGGGCUGGGAGCUGCUGUCAGCUGAGCCCCACCUGUGACGGGACAAUGUCACCUAUCGGGUGGCACCCGCUCCUCUCUUGGGGCCCUGCCAGGGAGCAAAGAAGGGGCAGCGGUGGGAAUCAGGCCGGAGCCACGUCUCCACCGACAAUGGCUGGCAGCCAUGCACUGCCUCCUCUGAGCCCGCAGCCGGACCCCCAGAACACGAAGGCCUUGAGGAAUUACCCUCUCCCUGACCCCCAACGAUGUCUGUGGCUGCCAGUGGGGGCCAGCCUGGGCAGGAGCCGACUCGGCUGACAUCCCCGUAGUCCUUUUAGAUUGUAGAUGCCGCCUCCUUUCCAGACAGGGAAACUGAGGCACAGAGGAACAGACCAUUGUUCAGGGUCACCCCGCCUGAAAGGGCAGGGCUGGGGCUCCCCCACUCCAACUUCACAAGUGUGACAGUUCAUCACACCUGGGGUGCCUCGAGGGCCCGAACCCCGAGGGCGCUCCUCCCGCUCCCGUGGCCAGAGUGGACUGGCCGGACAACCAGGCUCGGGAAAGUCAGGUCCUCUUUUCAGCCUCUGCUCAUGGUUAGAAGAACCUACGCUUUGGAGCCGGGAGGACUUAGAACCCGAGACUGGGAUUAGCUCCAGGGACUUAGAGAUUUCUGACCACCCCAGUUGGGUCCCAGACGCACCUUCCUCCGAGGCUGCCUCCCUCAAGGGCCACCCGACCACGGGGACGCCACCCAGAACGGGAGGAGGAGCCAGGACCCGGGGUCUCGGGGAGACUGUGCUCUGGGGAUAGACAUGGGCAGAGAACAUGACUGGCAGCUCCGGCCUAAACACACAUCCAGCCGCCUCCUAAACCUGUCCGGCAGACCUCAGAGCCAAAGCCCACGCCAGCCACACGGGUGCCAGAGGCCCAGACCCCGACUUCUCUGGAGGGGCCGUGAGUGUAACUCCAACCAGCAAAGGCCUUUCUUGCUGGAAACUGCGGCAUCUUGCUGUGACCUGAGGGACCCGGGGGGAGUGGGUGUGGUGCCCAAGAUCCUUUCUCCCGCCCUGGCCCAGAUGUUUUCCCCGCCUUUCACAGACGGGAAACUGAGGCACAGAGGCCUGGCCGCUGCCACAGGGUCUCCCCAGCCUGGCAUCGUGGGGCUGGGACUUGGACCCAGGGUUCUCCCAGUCAGGUCUUCUCUGCCUGCCAAUUAAUAUUCGCAACAUCAGUGCCCGGACCCCUCCCUAGGCCGGCACCGCCCCCUGUCCCCUGCCCCCCUCCCUAGGCCGGCACCACCCCGUGUCCGCUGCCACUCCCCUAGCCUGGCACCGCCCCGUGUCCCCUGCCCCCCUCCCUAGGCCAGCACUGCCCGGUGUCCCCUGCCUCCCUCCCUAGGCUGGCACUGCCCCGUGUCCCCUGCCACCCCCCCAGCCUGGCACCACCCCAAGUCCCCUGCC
rnacentral:lncRNA from 1 species